rnacentral:rRNA from 2 species
GGGUUGUGAGGUUAAGCGACUAAGCGUACACGGUGGAUGCCCUGGCAGUCAGAGGCGAUGAAGGACGUGCUAAUCUGCGAAAAGCGUCGGUAAGGUGAUAUGAACCGUUAUAACCGGCGAUGUCCGAAUGGGGAAACCCAGUGUGAUUCGUCACACUAUCGUUAACUGAAUACAUAGGUUAACGAGGCGAACCGGGGGAACUGAAACAUCUAAGUACCCCGAGGAAAAGAAAUCAACCGAGAUUCCCCCAGUAGCGGCGAGCGAACGGGGAGCAGCCCAGAGUCUGAAUCAGCUUGUGUGUUAGUGGAACGGUCUGGAAAGUCCGACGGUACAGGGUGAUAGUCCCGUACACCAAAAUGCACAGGUUGUGAACUCGAAGAGUAGGGCGGGACACGUGGUAUCCUGUCUGAAUAUGGGGGGACCAUCCUCCAAGGCUAAAUACUCCUGACUGACCGAUAGUGAACCAGUACCGUGAGGGAAAGGCGAAAAGAACCCCGGCGAGGGGAGUGAAAAAGAACCUGAAACCGUGUACGUACAAGCAGUGGGAGCACCUUCGGGUGUGACUGCGUACCUUUUGUAUAAUGGGUCAGCGACUUAUAUUCUGUAGCAAGGUUAACCGUAUAGGGGAGCCGCAGGGAAACCGAGUCUUAACUGGGCGUUAAGUUGCAGGGUAUAGACCCGAAACCCGGUGAUCUAGCCAUGGGCAGGUUGAAGGUUGGGUAACACUAACUGGAGGACCGAACCGACUAAUGUUGAAAAAUUAGCGGAUGACUUGUGGCUGGGGGUGAAAGGCCAAUCAAACCGGGAGAUAGCUGGUUCUCCCCGAAAGCUAUUUAGGUAGCGCCUCGUGAACUCAUCUUCGGGGGUAGAGCACUGUUUCGGCUAGGGGGUCAUCCCGACUUACCAACCCGAUGCAAACUACGAAUACCGAAGAAUGUUAUCACGGGAGACACACGGCGGGUGCUAACGUCCGUCGUGAAGAGGGAAACAACCCAGACCGCCAGCUAAGGUCCCAAAGUCAUGGUUAAGUGGGAAACGAUGUGGGAAGGCACAGACAGCCAGGAUGUUGGCUUAGAAGCAGCCAUCAUUUAAAGAAAGCGUAAUAGCUCACUGGUCGAGUCGGCCUGCGCGGAAGAUGUAACGGGGCUAAACCAUGCACCGAAGCUGCGGCAGCGACACUAUGUGUUGUUGGGUAGGGGAGCGUUCUGUAAGCCUGCGAAGGUGACCUGUGAGGGUUGCUGGAGGUAUCAGAAGUGCGAAUGCUGACAUAAGUAACGAUAAAGCGGGUGAAAAGCCCGCUCGCCGGAAGACCAAGGGUUCCUGUCCAACGUUAAUCGGGGCAGGGUGAGUCGACCCCUAAGGCGAGGCCGAAAGGCGUAGUCGAUGGGAAACAGGUUAAUAUUCCUGUACUUGGUGUUACUGCGAAGGGGGGACGGAGAAGGCUAUGUUAGCCGGGCGACGGUUGUCCCGGUUUAAGCAUGUAGGCUGGUUAUCCAGGCAAAUCCGGAUAAUCAAGGCUGAGGUGUGAUGACGAGGCACUACGGUGCUGAAGUAACAAAUGCCCUGCUUCCAGGAAAAGCCUCUAAGCAUCAGGUAACAUCAAAUCGUACCCCAAACCGACACAGGUGGUCAGGUAGAGAAUACCAAGGCGCUUGAGAGAACUCGGGUGAAGGAACUAGGCAAAAUGGUGCCGUAACUUCGGGAGAAGGCACGCUGGUGUGUAGGUGAAGCCCCUGCGGGUGGAGCUGAGACCAGUCGAAGAUACCAGCUGGCUGCAACUGUUUAUUAAAAACACAGCACUGUGCAAACACGAAAGUGGACGUAUACGGUGUGACGCCUGCCCGGUGCCGGAAGGUUAAUUGAUGGGGUUAUCCGUAAGGAGAAGCUCUUGAUCGAAGCCCCGGUAAACGGCGGCCGUAACUAUAACGGUCCUAAGGUAGCGAAAUUCCUUGUCGGGUAAGUUCCGACCUGCACGAAUGGCGUAAUGAUGGCCAGGCUGUCUCCACCCGAGACUCAGUGAAAUUGAACUCGCUGUGAAGAUGCAGUGUACCCGCGGCAAGACGGAAAGACCCCGUGAACCUUUACUAUAGCUUGACACUGAACAUUGAGCCUUGAUGUGUAGGAUAGGUGGGAGGCUUUGAAGCGUGGACGCCAGUCUGCGUGGAGCCAACCUUGAAAUACCACCCUUUAAUGUUUGAUGUUCUAACGUUGGCCCCUUACCGGGGUUGCGGACAGUGUCUGGUGGGUAGUUUGACUGGGGCGGUCUCCUCCCAAAGCGUAACGGAGGAGCACGAAGGUUAGCUAAUCCUGGUCGGACAUCAGGAGGUUAGUGCAAUGGCAUAAGCUAGCUUGACUGCGAGCGUGACGGCGCGAGCAGGUGCGAAAGCAGGUCAUAGUGAUCCGGUGGUUCUGAAUGGAAGGGCCAUCGCUCAACGGAUAAAAGGUACUCCGGGGAUAACAGGCUGAUACCGCCCAAGAGUUCAUAUCGACGGCGGUGUUUGGCACCUCGAUGUCGGCUCAUCACAUCCUGGGGCUGAAGUAGGUCCCAAGGGUAUGGCUGUUCGCCAUUUAAAGUGGUACGCGAGCUGGGUUUAGAACGUCGUGAGACAGUUCGGUCCCUAUCUGCCGUGGGCGCUGGAGAAUUGAGGGGGGCUGCUCCUAGUACGAGAGGACCGGAGUGGACGCAUCACUGGUGUUCGGGUUGUCAUGCCAAUGGCACUGCCCGGUAGCUAAAUGCGGAAGAGAUAAGUGCUGAAAGCAUCUAAGCACGAAACUUGCCCCGAGAUGAGUUCUCCCUGAGACUUUAAGUCUCCUGAAGGAACGUUAAAGACGAUGACGUUGAUAGGCCGGGUGUGUAAGCGCAGCGAUGCGUUGAGCUAACCGGUACUAAUGAACCGUGAGGCUUAACCUUACAACGCCGAAG